GGGGAAUUUUGCGCAAUGGGCGAAAGCCUGACGCAGCAACGCCGCGUGUGUGACGAAGGCCCUAGGGUUGUAAAGCACUGUGGGAAGGGAAGAAAAAACGGGGGUUGUACCCCGUCUUGACGGUACCUUGUUAGAAAGCACCGGCUAACUCCGUGCCAGCAGCCGCGGUAAUACGGAGGGUGCAAGCGUUGUUCGGAAUUAUUGGGCGUAAAGGGCGUGUAGGUGGCUAUGCAAGUCUGGUGUGAAAGCCCACGGCUCAACCGUGGAACUGCAUUGGAAACUGCAUAGCUCGAGUGUUGGAGGGGGUCGCGGAAUUCCCGGUGUAGAGGUGAAAUUCGUAGAUAUCGGGAGGAACACCAGUGGCGAAGGCGGCGACCUGGCCAAUUACUGACACUGAGACGCGAAAGCGUGGGGAGCAAAC
rnacentral:rRNA from 1 species